rnacentral:lncRNA from 1 species
AUGCUUGCAGUCAAGAUGCACCUUUGCAGCAAAUACAGCGGGAGAGAAAAAUUCAUGACACAGCCUUUCAUUGAAAAUCAAUACAGCCCAGACCUGCCCGUGAUACACGCACUCAAUUUAUCCCCCGCCUGGCUUGCAGCAUCCUCACCACCAGUCCCCCAGCCGCAGCAAGGGGAGUGGGGAGGGUUGAGAAGGGAGGCGGUGUGCUGGUCCAGGAACACAUCCAGCCAAGGGCAGCCUUGCUGGUGUCAAGGAGCAACCACCAGGAUGGGGACUGGGCAGAGCUGUGAUGCCUCCGGGUGUUACUGCAGCAGGGAGCAUGGCAGCCUGCUGGAUGCUGCCUGGGGCUGGAGUAACCUCCAGGCUGACUUCUCAACACUGCCGCUCAUAUGUCUCUCUAGAUCAGAGGAUCAUGGAGGCACACAGCACCUGAAGGCUCCUGGGUACUCUGCAUCAUCAGCAUUGGCCAUUUAGGAAGGGAUAUCAUCGAGUCAUUAAGGUUGGGAACCACCUCUAAGAUCACCAAGUCCAACCACAACCCAUCACCACCAUGCCCCUCAGUGCCAAGUCUACAUUUUCUUUCUUGAAAAUCUCCAGGGACAGUGAAUCCACCACCUUAAUAUCAAUAGGUCUACCCCAUAACCCUCUUCACACAGGGCACCAGACCACAAGAGCCAACAGCAAAGUGCCUAGGGGACUCCCAUAAGCCCAGCCCUUUGACUGAUGGCAUUGUUGGGUGGUUCUUUCAGGCCCUCAUGGUGGGCCAGGCUAUGCCUUCUGCUAUGCAGCAGAACCAGUGUCCUACAGACUGCUUUCAUAGGGAAACUGGAGAGUAGGGACCUUGGGCUGCUCUGACUCAAAGUCCUUCAUGAGAAGGGAUAUUUGAGGUCUACCUGCCCCAUCCCGGGUCCAAAUGUACAAGCCAAAAAGGGGACUUUGCUGCUCCACCUGCACACACACCCACCAUCAUGCCACCUUUCCUUUCCCAUGAAUGGAAACUUGGGUCUGGGUCAAAUUAGCAUCUCUCUACUAUUCCAGUGUAGAGAACACUAAACAAACAAAUAAGCAAAUAAAACCUCAGCAAGAAAUCA